CACAGACACAGUAACAAUCUGAUCUCUCUUGCUUUUCCCCACACUGUCCCUCUGGAGAACCCUGACUAAUACUGUGUGUAAGUCAUUUAUGAAAAAUGAUUCAUGGGUAGGGUAGCUUAUUCCUGUAAUCCCAGUGCUUUGGGAGGCUGAGGUGGGAGAACUGCUUGAAGCCAGGGGUUCAAGACCAGCCUGGGCAACAUGGUGAGACCCAUCUCUACAAAAAAUUUUAAAAAUUCGUUGGGCAUGGUGGUACACUCAUGUAGUCCUAGGCAUUUGGGAGGCUGAGGUGGGAGGAUUGCUUGAGCCCAAGAACUGCAGGCUGCACAGGAGCUAUGAUCAUACACUCUAGCCUAGACAACAGAAUGAGACCUUGUCUCUAAAAAUAAAUAAAUAAAGGGCUAGGCAUGGUGGCUCACGCCUGUAAUCCUAGCACUUUGGGA
rnacentral:lncRNA from 1 species